UACGUAGGGUGCGAGCGUUGUCCGGAAUUACUGGGCGUAAAGAGCUCGUAGGCGGCUUGUCGCGUUGUCCGUGAAAAUUUACCGCUCAACGGUGAACUUGCGGGCGAUACGGGCAGGCUAGAGUACUGCAGGGGAGACUGGAAUUCCUGGUGUAGCGGUGAAAUGCGCAGAUAUCAGGAAGAACACCAACGGCGAAGGCAGCUCGCUGGGACGGUACUGACGCUGAGACGCGAAAGCGUGGGGAGCGAACAGG
rnacentral:rRNA from 1 species